AGGAAAAUCAAAAAAUAUCUACAUGACUUGGAAGGGGAACUUCUGGAGUGACACUAAUGAUAAUGAUGUUUCACACUCACCAAAGGGGACUGAAGAAUCCACUCCCACAGAUACAGGCCUCCAGGACAAUAUACUGUUACAACCAGAGACAACAAGAGAGUCACCAUCCAUAGAAAAACGGGAAUGAACCGUCACAAUCACCGAACACUAAUG